rnacentral:rRNA from 1 species
CCUACGGGGCGCAGCAGUGGGGAAUAUUGCACAAUGGGGGAAACCCUGAUGCAGCGACGCCGCGUGAAGGAAGAAGUAUUUCGGUAUGUAAACUUCUAUCAGCAGGGAAGAAAAUGACGGUACCUGACUAAGAAGCCCCGGCUAACUACGUGCCAGCAGCCGCGGUAAUACGUAGGGGGCAAGCGUUAUCCGGAUUUACUGGGUGUAAAGGGAGCGUAGGCGGUGCAGCAAGUCAGAAGUGAAAGUCCGGGGCUCAACCCCGGGACUGCUUUUGAAACUGUGGGUCUUGAGUGAUGGAGAGGCAG